UACAGAGGGGGCCAGCGUUAUUCGGAAUUAUUGGGCGUAAAGGGCGCGUAGGCGGCCUUGCGUGUCUUUCGUGAAAUCCCUCGGCUUAACUGAGGACGUGCGGAAGAAACUGCAGGGCUCGAGUCCGGGAGAGGGGGGUGGAAUUCCCAGUGUAGCGGUGAAACGCGUAGAUAUUGGGAGGAACACCGGUGGCGAAGGCGGCCCCCUGGACCGGUACUGACGCUGAGGCGCGAAAGCGUGGGGAG
rnacentral:rRNA from 1 species